UGAAUAAAGAAAAUGAAAUAGAAUAAAACAUUUAAAAAUAAAGUAAUAAAAAAUAAAAUUUUCUCUAUUCUGUAUCCAAGAAUGGGGAAGAAAAGAAAGAAAGGGAAAAAAAGAAAAAAUAAAACAAUUUAAGCAAAAACAGAAGCAAAGAAAAUGAACAGAUAAAGGAACCAGAAAACAGAAUGAAACCUAAAGAAGUUACAUCCUGUUUUCUCUAGGACUGAAAGUAUGAAGUCUUCUAUAGUCUGUGCACUAAGCAGGUGGAGUGACUUCUGCUGGUCUUCUAGAGAAUGUGCUUGGAGGGCGCAGUUGGUGGGGGGCUUGGUGUAAGGGCUCCAUUAUCCACCAGGUGGCACUGCCUAGCUUACUGGGGUGGGUCAGUGCGAUGUGCAUGCAGCUGUGUGGGAGAGGUGGAAAUGGCUUCAUCCAGCUCCCUAGUCUCUGGCACAGGAGCUUUGCACUCUCACCGACCUUUGAUCAAAUAUCUCUUCUUUGUCUCAGGCCUCCGUCCACUCCUCUCCUCCACCCCGUCCAUGUCCAAGCUGUUCACCUGCCAGGUAGCACCUCCCUCCAGAGUUUUAUCUCAGAUGGGGCUGUGUUGCAAAACCCCAUGCUUCUGAGACCACUGUGGCUUGGACCUGUACCAAUUCUCUGGGGGAAGGAUCUUGCUGAGCAAUGGCAGGGUGCCGGCUUGCCCCAGAAGAGUUUCUUGCAAUCACGCAGCGGCAGAGGUUCAGAAAUUAUGGCAAAUCACAACACACAGCCAGCGCCAGGUUUCACCACACUCUGGCGACUUUGUCCCAGUAGCGGCAAACAUAGCAGCAGACAUCUGCUAAGACCUUUGCCUGUGGGGAGGCCAUACGCCCUCUACCAAAUGCACUCCAAAUAGGGCAACCACUUCUCCCUGUGUGGCACAUGGACCCCUCAGACUGCACUGCCUGCUUCUGGGAAUUCGUCCUGUUUCCUCACCAGAACACCACUAGGCACUGAGCUCCAAAACUUCGGACUCUGUGCUCCACUGUUUAUAAAAUCCUGAUGGUAUUGAAACCCUCUCCUUGCUUCCCACCAAUGGUUUUGGGGAACAGGUUUCUUGUUCAGUCCCCUGCUAGUGUUUUCACUCUUACUCUCUCUCUCUUUCCAGCUACUUUCAGGGGAGUGCUUUUCUUGUACAUCCCAAUGCACCACAAUCUCUCCCUUUCUUUCUUUCUGUCCUCUCUCCACAAAAACAGCUCCCUAUCCUCUGUGGCUUUUCUUUCCCCCAGUUCACCUCUCCACACCAUGUACCUGCCGAGUUCUGUGGCUCAAGUUAUGCAGAUUGUUGUGUUAAUCCUCAGAUUGAUUUCCUAGGUAUUCAAACUGGUUUGGUGCUGAUCUGGCUGUGUUUCAGAGACAAGACAAACUCAGGGUCUCCAUGCCGCUCCAACAUCUUGACCAUCUUCUAAAGUUUGAUUCUACACGUGAAGUUUGCAUUCUGUGAUAUCACCACAUUGUUACAUGGACUUGGGCCAGUGUUUCUCCAACUUUGUUGAGCGUUGGAAGGAGAUAGGAAGCUUGUGAAAAAUAUGCUUGGGCCCAACCCCAUGGAUUCCGACUGGGUACGUUUGGGAAGGAGCUUAUUUGUUCUUUGUAUCAAUUUUGCAGAUGAUUCUGAUCCAUUAAAAUGCGAGAACCAA